GAUGAAGAACGUAGCGAAAUGCGAUACUUGGUGUGAAUUGCAGAAUCCCGUGAACCAUCGAGUCUUUGAACGCAAGUUGCGCCCGAAGCCAUCAGGUUGAGGGCACGUCUGCCUGGGCGUCACAUAUCGUUGCCCAAUGCCUAUUGCAGUGCAAUAGGAAUUUCUAGGGCGAAUGAUGGCUUCCCGUGAGCGUUGUUGCCUCGCGGUUGGUUGAAAAUCGAGUCCUUGGUAGGGUGUGCCAUGGUAGAUGGUGGUCGAGAUAGAACGAUACCGAUCAUGUGCAUGCUCCCCAAAAUAUGGCCUCUAUGACCCACACGCGUCUUUUGACGCUCAUGACGAGCCCUCAGGUCAGGCGGGGCUACCCGCUGAAUUUAAGCAUAUCAAUAAGCGGAGGA
rnacentral:misc_RNA from 1 species